UGUAAGCGUAUACCAAAGUUGUUGCAGUUAAAACGCUCGUAGUCGGAAUUUGGCAGUUCCGGAAGUGUGCACGUCGUGUGCGCACUUUGCGGGGACUGCUUUUGUGGUCUUGCGUAGGAUGAGGCACUUUCAUUAGUGAACGUCCUCACGCAACCACUCUUUACUGUGAGAAAAUCAGAGUGCUCAAAGCAGGCAUUUGCCGUGAAUGUAUUAGCAUGGAAGAAUAGAAUAGGACUCGGUUCUAUUUUGUUGGUUUGUUGGGACUGAGUAAUGAUUAAGAGGGACAGUUGGGGGCAUUUGUAUUCCGGCGCUAGAGGUGAAAUUCUUAGAUUGCCGGAAGACAAACUGCUGCGAAAGCGUCUGCCAAGGAUGUUUUCAUUGA
rnacentral:rRNA from 1 species